AAGGAGAGGUGUUGAUCACACGGUCAACAGAUAUCGGCUGGUCGCAUUUCUUCCCAAUGAUAUCUGGGCUAUGCACAGAGAUGGGAGGCAUUAUAUCACAUGGAGCUGUAGUAGCUAGAGAAUAUGGACUGCCAUGUAUUGUAUCUGCCAGGAAUGCUACAUCAAUAUUCAAGACAGGAGAUGAAGUGAUCUUAAACGGAGCUGUUGGAACAAUGGCAAAAGUUGUUUAGAAUGGAAAAACAGACGCAAAGACGAAAAUAAAAGAAAUAUUAGCAGAAAAAAAGAAACAGGACCCCACAGCGUUACCUACUUGGGAGUGUGUAAAAUAUUGUGUAUACACACGUAUAUAUAUAUAUAUAUAUAUAUAUAUGCACGUAGUAUUUACAUCAUACUAUUCAUAUGUAGGAAUGUUUAUACACUCAUAUAACAAUAUACACUGUAGGGACAGGAUCAUGGGAUACAUUAUUUGAUAACAGGUGUCGAUUUUAAUUAUUGACUGAUAUCAAAUUCUCUUAUAUAUCUCUUAAUUAUUUAAUUAUAGUUAUUUUUAUGAAAAUUAUACAAAUUUAAGCAGAUUGGCUAUUGUAUUUUUGCAAACUUGAAUCAUGAAGUGAAACACACAGCCAGUUUGUUGCCACGUUUUCAAAUCAAGAAGAUUAUUAGUAUACGAUAUAUAGGCCCUAAUGGCUGUUAUCAUUUAUUAGCUACAUUCUCACUCCAUUCUACAUUCGUAUCAUGCAUGUGCAUAUGAAAAUUCUAGAUACUCAUCAGAUGACCAGCUGGCAUUCUGAUCGCACUUGCGUUCCUGUGGAGACGUGCUGAUACGAUAUGUUGUACCUUGUACACUGCGCCAAUACAUCAAUAUUAUAUUUUAU